rnacentral:rRNA from 1 species
UCCUGGCUGUAAAGGAUGCGGGCUAGGUGUUGCUUGGACUUCGAGUCCAAGCAGUGCCGCAGGGAAGCCGUUAAGCCCGCCGCCUGGGGAGUACGGCCGCAAGGCUGAAACUUAAAGGAAUUGGCGGGGGAGCACUACAAGGGGUGGAGCGUGCGGUUUAAUUGGAUUCAACGCCGGGAACCUCACCGGGGGCGACGGCAGGAUGAAGGCCAGGCUGAAGGUCUUGCCGGACA